GACGAACGCUGGCGGCGUGCUUAACACAUGCAAGUCGAGCGGAAAGGCCCUUUCGGGGGUACUCGAGCGGCGAACGGGUGAGUAACACGUGAGUAAUCUGCCCUUGGCUUUGGGAUAACCACCGGAAACGGUGGCUAAUACCGGAUAUGACGGGCUCCGGCAUCGGGGUUCGUGGAAAGUUUUUUCGGCCAGGGAUGUGCUCGCGGCCUAUCAGCUUGUUGGUGGGGUAAUGGCCUACCAAGGCUUCGACGGGUAGCCGGCCUGAGAGGGUGACCGGCCACACUGGGACUGAGACACGGCCCAGACUCCUACGGGAGGCAGCAGUGGGGAAUAUUGGACAAUGGGCGGAAGCCUGAUCCAGCAACGCCGCGUGAGGGAUGACGGCCUCGGUUGUAACU
rnacentral:rRNA from 1 species